rnacentral:rRNA from 1 species
AGUGAACGCUGGCGGUAGGCCUAACACAUGCAAGUCGAACGGCAGCACAGUAAGAGCUUGCUCUUACGGGUGGCGAGUGGCGGACGGGUGAGGAAUACAUCGGAAUCUACUUUUUCGUGGGGGAUAACGUGGGGAAACUUACGCUAAUACCGCAUACGACCUACGGGUGAAAGCAGGGGAUCUUCGGACCUUGCGCGAUUGAAUGAGCCGAUGUCGGAUUAGCUAGUUGGCGGGGUAAAGGCCCACCAAGGCGACGAUCCGUAGCUGGUCUGAGAGGAUGAUCAGCCACACUGGAACUGAGACACGGACCAGACUCCUACGGGAGGCAGCAGUGGGGAAUAUUGGACAAUGGGCGCAAGCCUGAUCCAGCCAUACCGCGUGGGUGAAGAAGGCCUUCGGGUUGUAAAGCCCUUUUGUUGGGAAAGAAAAGCAGCAGGUUAAUACCCCGCUGUUCUGACGGUACCCAAAGAAUAAGCACCGGCUAACUUCGUG